GCAAGAGUCAAAACUUGCCCGCAGCGACCUAACUGCACCUCCAGUGUCUACCCCCAUAGGGCACGGAAGCAGCAAGAAGGGCGGGAACACUUGACUGGGGUCUAUGCAGCUCUAGGCUGAGUCUUGCAGGGCUGAGCCCCCCAGGCCUGCUCUCCUGUGUCCUAGCCGCUCUGUCAGUGCCUGCCAGUGGGGUCCGGAGGAACCGUCUCUUUAACGUCUCUUUUGCAGUGAGAUGCGCCUACUUCUCCCUGGAGAAGCUCGAGGAAGCAGGAAUGCUGGAGAUGAGCUGCUCCUCACUCUCACUCCUGGGUGUGCUGGGCAGUGGGGUGCAAUGUGCACGUAGGUGCACACUCUCCCUGGGCGGCAGCGAGAAGCAGAGGUCUGAUCUGUGGUCGGAUGAGGAGAGGAAGUGCAAGUAAAGCAGCUGCAGCGAGACCUCGUCUGCUCAGGGGCUUGUUCUUACAUCUUUUGCAGGGCUGUUUUGAAGUCAGUAUUCACUUAAGCACUCCAAAUUACCCAGCACACCCUGCCUGCAUGGCGCUGCGCUGCACCUUCACUCUGGUCACGGGUCUGGCAGUCGGCUCACCAAUUCGUCCUGCUUCCCUGGGACUCGCCGGCUUUUAGCACUGCAAUUCACUCAGCAAACUGGGACUGUUGGUCACCCUACCUGGCAGCCAGUGAUAAGGUGAGGGCCACUCCUGGGAGGGAGGACACCUGUGGGGAAAAUUCUUGUGUUAUUUAUUUCUCCUUCGGGAUAGGGUGCCUGCAGCGCUUCAUGGGAGGGGGUGG
ensembl:lncRNA EOLA1-DT EOLA1 divergent transcript